CUUAUCAAGAGCGGCUGAGGGAACAGGCCCGGUGAAGCCCGGCAACCUCCGUGUUGAAACGGAAAGGUGCCAAAUCCUGCGGUUAUAAACCGAAAGAUGAGG
rnacentral:ncRNA from 1 species